UACAGAGGGGGCAAGCGUUAUUCGGAAUUAUUGGGCGUAAAGGGUGUGUAGGUGGCGCCGUAAGUCGGGUGUGAAAUUUCGGAGCUUAACUCCGAAACUGCAUUCGAUACUGCGGUGCUUGAGGACUGGAGAGGAGACUGGAAUUCAUGGUGUAGCAGUGAAAUGCGUAGAGAUCAUGAGGAAGACCAGUGGCGAAGGCGGGUCUCUGGACAGUUCCUGACACUGAGACACGAAGGCCAGGGGAGCAAACGGGG
rnacentral:rRNA from 1 species